GCGGUGCGAAUGAUUCUUAGGCCAGGGCUGAAGCUCAGUGACCCAGGUUGUACUGAGCAGGCUCAACUGCAGCACACACGCCCUAAGAUUCCCAUUUCAAUGAGCUUCUACUUUAGUGACUGUCCUGGCUGGUUUUGUGUGUCAACUGAUACAAGGUAUAGUCAUCAGAGAGAAAGGAGCUUCAGUUGAGGAAAUGCCUCUAUGAGAGCCAGCUAUAAGGCAUUUUCUCAAUUAGUGAUCUAUAAGGAGGGCCCCAGCCCAUUGCGGGUGGGGUCAGCCCUGGGCGGUGGUCCUGGGAUGAGCAAGCCAGUAAGCAGUACCCGUCCAUGGCUUCUGCAUCAGCUCCUGCCUCCAUGUUCCUGCCCUGUUUCAGUUUCUUUCCUGACUUCCUUUGGUGAUAAACAGCAAUGUGGAAGUGUAAGCUGAAUAAACCUUUCCCUUCCCGACUUGCUUUUUUUUUUUUUUUUUUCCGGAGCUGGGGACCGAA
rnacentral:lncRNA from 1 species